GAGAGGCGCUGAGCCCGGACGACGGGCGUUCGGCAGGCCGAGGCGCGGGCGCGGCGAUGUCUGGAGCUCAGGUGGGGAACCCGGACGCAGCCCGCACCCUCCACAGCCCUGCGCAAAGGGGCAGCCCACCCCGGCCCCCGGGAGUUAUUAGCCCGGCCAGCUUCGGUGGGCAAAGGGCGCCUCCUGGUGGCGUUUGGGGAACAGCGCGAGGGAUGAGCGUGCCCUGUUAACCCAAGAGACUGGCCUUGGUGGGGGCACGGAAGAUGGAGAGCCGGAGGAUUUCUGGGCAAGACCAUAUUGACCACGUUGUUCCACCUGUUCCAGGGAGCUGAAGAGCAACAGCUUGCACUUGAUGGUUCCAAGGCACUACUUAAUGAACACAAACAUCUUGGGAGGAGCUGUCAUUUCACGUUACCCACCAAGAGCCAAAGGCUAUGAGAGGGGAAGGGACCAUGUGGUAGGAUCAGGGGGAAACCAAGCCCCCUGACAUGCGGUUCCAUCCUCAUUUACUACAUCAUAGCUGUCUGAAAAAUGGGUCUGGGGAAUGGGAGCCCAGCAGGAACAGGAGGCCCAAGGGACAUGUGAACUCCUCAAACCUAUUAGUUCCCCUUUUCCAACCCACAGGGCCUCUGUCUUGAAAGCACCAAUGAACUGAUUGCCUCCCCUCACACACACAUACACCCUGCUAAUGCUGAACACUGGACUCUUUUGACCCCAGAUUGAAAUGUCAUCAAGUCAAGUGAGCAAACAUGCAAGCAAGGUUUUUACUGGGGCAUCCAUUCAGGAGACAGCUCUGCCAAGAAGUCAGUUCUGCUGGCAGGAAUUGGGGGAGAGGGGAAGAAGCUAGCUGAACUGUUUGCAGGUUGGGGUUUAGGAAUGUUGCCCCAAUGAGUUAAAUGAAAGCACUGAGGCUCUAAUGAUGCACCUCAUACUAUUUGUGUCAAGAGGCACAUUUGGAAUCUCACACUGUAAGUUAAGGUGGGAUGUUGUAAUGGCUGUCAGAGUGCAUUUGCCCUCUGUCCCUAUCUUACACUCAUCAGCACACCCAGUCUCAGCAAAAUUGUUUGUGAAAAAAUCGUCCCCAGACAUAUUUGGUUGGAUCUCAGGCAUGAAAGGUUUGUAUGUGAACUAUAGAAUAUUCAUUGACAUUUUCUUCCUCUUGGCCAGCCAGCCAGCACUGAGCUUCCUGCUUGGUGAGGAAUAUGACUCUCUGCAAGAGCCUUGUCCUCCCUCUCCCACCUCCAUACUGGGUUUCAAUGCUCCUUAGGAAGGGGAGUCACCAAACUGAACAGGGCUCCAUUUCUCCAGACAAACAUUAUUUAGCACCUACUGUGUGCCAAGAGCAAACUGCCCACACAAGUGUGGUUUCCAAAAUCCUUCAUAUCAGUUUUGUAAGGUAGGUGUAAGGGAAACCUAACCCCAUUUCACCGAUGAGGAAACCCGUUCAAGUUUAAGAUCACCUGCGAGACAGUAAGGCUCUGAGGUGAAUGGGCUACACAGCUGAGUUUAACUCUGGCUCUGUUCUCUCACUCUGGAACUCAUUCCCCUUACUUGCACAAAGGACAAAAUUAUCUAAUGGAAAGUGCCCUAGGCUGGCAGGAGUGAGGGGCAUCCCUGUGACCCAGCCAGAGGCUUCAAUUCCCUUGGCUUCAGUUUCCAUCUUCAAAUAUGAAGGAAGUAGCCUGGAAUAGUCUUAAAGUUAUUUCAAACUCUGACAUGCAUGAAUCCCUAGCCUACUGGAAGGAUGCAAGAUCAGCAAGACCACAGAGGCUAAGUGUCUGGGAAGGAAAAUAGUAUAAAAGCGAAAUGCUUUCUCAUAUUCUUUGGCCUGAUGAGCUCAUCCUAUGAACCAGGGAAGUGAGGAGGAGCUUUUGGCAGGUCCCAGAGAUUACUGAUGACUGGCAGUAGCCUUGGCUGUAGCCUCAUGAGGACCCCAGUUUCUUCCUUUCCUGCAAGGGUGAUAUUGAUUUUCUUCUUCUUUAAGUCUCCGUCCUUAGAAACAGGAGUCCCUGCCAGGCAGAGGGUGGGCAGCCAUGCCAGAGAAGCCUACUGUUAGCCCCAGCUGGUUGUCCCCCACUCACUUCGGGUCUCUUUCUUCCCUCAAGGCUGGCUGCUGAGUUCUUUUAAAAUACUCACUUCUUGCUCUCCACCUUCUUUCCUCCUGAACAUUGGUGCCACUUGCCAAUCAGAACACAGUUCCAGGCAAGCUAACUUCCCAAGCUCAGUCCUAGGUGUGAGAAGGUCUUUCCAGAUCAUUUUUUGAUUCCACAGUAGGGGAAGGUCAGAGCCCAGUGAGCUGGCUUGGCUGAUCUUGAAGGAAGAAGCAGAAUGAUUGGGAUGUGGGGCCCCCUCCUUUAGGACUUCUUGCCAGAAACCUUCCAAGCAGCCGACUGCUGGCUGUGCUAGAUAGACAGGUUUGGAUGUACUUGGGCAUCCCCGUGGAGGCUGGAGACUGCAGGAAGGAGUUUGUUCUCCUGGAUUUACUUUCAGCUCCUUCCAUCUUUGUAUUUACCUCAGGGUCAUGGAUGAAGACUACUUGAUCUGAAUUUCCUACCAUGUCUUUCCCACAGGUCCCUUGGAAGGUUCAUAAGUGCAUGAAUGGAGCCAACUGAGGUACAGUGACCGGGUGAUUUGUCCUCACAUUUAGUGUUCAUGUCAUCAUCAUGCCACUGUCUCUUAGAAACUAUCACAACCGUCUCCCUGCCUGUGGACUGGCUUCUUCCUCCAGUACACCCCCAAACGGCUGCCAGAGUGAUGUAUUUAAAACAAGCCCCACCACUUCACACCACUUCAAGUGAAAAAUCCUUCUAGCAUCCCACAUAACCGGGAAGUCUAGGCAUAAUGAAUACUGUUCACACUGAAAUGAAAAUGAAAAUCUGGAUCAUCCUUGAUCGGAAUACAACCUGCCUCUCAGUGCUGCAGCCCUGCUCUCAUCCCUAAUGUCUCAGUCCCCAUUUACUACUCUGCAGAGGAGAUCAGCUGCCAUGGCAAUUAGUUCUUCAUGAGAUCUUUGGUGCCUAUUAGGUGCCAGGCAAAAGAGAAAACAAGAUGAAUCCAGGGCGAGUCCUUUUGGAGUCCAAAGUCAAGUAAAAGGUAUUGUAGAUGACACAUUUUCCUUCUAACAAUUCUGGCCCAUUCUGACUUGGGGUAUUUUCUGUAUGGUAUCAUUAACCUACAUUGAUCAAUUAACUCAGUUUAGUGAACACUGUCCAGGCUAGAAGGCAGGGUGGGGCUGGAGAAGCAAUAAGUGGUUGAUGACAAUUUAAGAGUCAAGGACAAGGGGGAGGCGUCACUAGGAUGGGUGGAAACCCAAAACUAGAGAUAUGAGUCUUCCACAGAGCUGCAUGUAGCUGGAGGUCUACUGUCACUACAGCUACAGAUGUGGAGAAAGGGGCACUGUUGCUCAUGCAAAAAUGUAGACCAGGGCCGCCAAAGCUGCAGUCCUACACUCACAUCUCAGAACGGCAUUUUACAAGUAUGAUGUGCUUCCUCCUUCCACACCCCCUCUCCUCCUUGGAUCCCUACAGUUAGUCUAGGUUGGUCCCAUUAAGCCAUGUUAAAAAUACUUGCUUCUGGGAGGGAAGGGCUCAGCUGGAAGAAUGAUGGUCCAAGACCACCUUGGGAAGGGAUGAAGCUCCUUUAACUCAGAUGGGGAUGGGGGGUUGGAUGGAAACAAGGAAGCUGCAUUUUCCUCAUCCUUCUGCAUCUCCAAGAGUGACCAAAGAGACCAUACAAAUGAGCAGGAGCAAGAGGUAGCAGGAUGAGUGAUAGUGCAGCAUUUUCUAUCUGGGAGCAAAGCUUAAUCAAUUUAGCAAUGGCAGAUACAGAGCAACGGAUCUGUCAUCUCCAUGCAACCACCCCAGGAUAUCAGAAAUAAGGCAGCAGUUUCCAUGUUCCCCCAGGUGUUUGGUAUUUGGAAUUUAUCCAGGGUAUAGUUUUGUCUAAACAGUGGCAUUGUGUUCCUAAGAAUUAUUAUGGAGUGACAUGGAGAUAUUUGAAGGCAAAAAAAUGUGUGUGCACAUUUACGUAUAUAUGGGUAUGUGGGUAGGUGUACAUUUAUGUCUAUUUACACAAAUACUAUUUACAUUUCAGCAGACACCUGUGUUUCAACAUAUUGCUGGCCAGUUGUCUUUUUAGCUCAGUGGAGCAAUAAUUCAUUGAAUAGCAUCUGACAGGUAAGGUAUUGGGCACUAAAGGGGACAGAAAGAAAGAUUGGACAUGGUUUCUACUUUCAAAAAAACAUAGUCUGGUGCAUUUAAUUUUCCCUCCUAAAGGAAAACCUUUACAUUUUAUCUCACAGCAAUUUUCAAGAGCUUGAGCUCCGUCCAGGAAUUCAGAAUAGCAAAAGGAAUAAGCAGGAUUUCUGUUCCCCCAGGCCAGAUAUCCUAAUUGUCCCAGCUAAAUGAGGGGGUAGGAGAACCAUACUGGCCGCCGUGGUACACCCCUGUAAUCCCAAAUACUCAGGAGUGAGGCAGGAGGAUCCAAGUUCAAGGCCAGCCUGGGCAACUCAACGAGACCUUGUCUCAAAAUAAAAAAUAAAAAGGGCUGGGGAUGCAGCUCGGUGACAUCUCCAGGACUGAAAACAACAAUAAAAAAGGCAGUGGAAUGUGCCCAAGUAUGAAUUCCCUGGAGAAUACUCCACCAGACAGCUGCCAUUAAAGCAAAAUUUAAUGUGCAAUCAUUUCCACACUUGUUCUCCUAGAUACCAGGUAGAAAUCUUAAUUUUAGAAGAAUUCAGUUAUCUUAAUUUGGAAAACACUAAAGGAAGAUGUGGUAGCUGUGUUCAGGUAUUUAAGAUUUUCCCUAUGUUUCUCUACAACAAGGAUCAAUGGAUAGAAGACACAGAGAGGCUGAUUGUAGCUCAAAUAAGAAAGAAUUUAUGAGUUGCCUUAGGAGAUAAUGAGCUCCCCAGCACUGGAAGGAUACAAGCAGAUGGAUGGCUGUCUGCCAGGAGUGCCCCACAGGGUAUUCCUGCAGUAGAUUAGGGCAGUCCACAAGGUACUUUCCAUCUCUCAUUUCUUGGAUACUCAGCCCCUCUCUUUGGCCCAAGGCUAAAAGGAAAUUUGAAUACUUGGAGAAAUGGGACACUUCUUUUUGAAGGGAGAAUCUCGCCCCCAGCUCUGGAUUCAAUUCCCAGCAACACAAACACAAAACAAAACAAUAACAGACUUGCCUGUGUCUUUGGGCCUUUAAUUUUAGAUACAUGGACACUUUUCUUUAAAUGCAGUGAAGAUGCUUAAUACUAGAAAAUGCAGUAAUUAUUUAAGUACUCUAUUGACAAAAGCAAUGUUAUUGACACACACAAGUGUUACUGGGUAAAUAGCACUGAUGGCCUAGUUGGAAAAGGCCAGAUGUUUCCAUGUGAGAAAGAUAGUUCCAAAAUAAGACCAGUCUGAAUAAGGGAACAUCCGUGUUUGCUUCUAAAAUGACCUACAACACACACACAUUCAGGAAUGAAAACAGUAUGUGCAGUAAAUAUGCAAAAAAAGUAUCUCAAUGUAUCUACUGCCUUUGUACCUUGGAGUCAGUGGGCAUCUCAUCCAGCAGGAAGGACGGUUUCCUUCAAACAUUCUCAAGCAUUAAGCACUUGAGUAAAGCUCAGUACACACAGUGAAACCUAGGUCUUCAGAAUACCAAUGGACUCUAAGGCAACGGAGUCCACUGCUUUUCAGAUGCUAAUUAAUUAGGACAAGGUUGAGGUGAUCUGGUUGUCUUAAAAAUUUGGUGGGGAAAGGGGAACAAAAUUUGAAAAAUAUAAGCUAAAGAGGUAGACCCAGGCAAAAAUACUUGGACAUAAAUACCUAUCCAUUUAAUAACCAAAAUAGAAAAUGGAAUUCUCUCCCCUAACCUCCAAAGACAAAAUUUUUAUUUUCCAGUAGCAGUAAAAGGAUCUAUUUUAUAAUGUUGUUGGUUAAAGAAAUGGAGGGGUGGUACUCCAGGGCUGUGUUUUCAACUUCAGUUGAAUUUGCUGAGUUACUAUUCAGAGUCUUCUAGGUGGCAGGCACUGUCUUUGGUACUGGGUAUACACUUGUGAGCAGGCGUGGUCCCUGCAUGGGCCCAGGAGCUGGCCUACUGUGGUGCAUAGAAUAGCAUGCUGCCCUGUACACCUCCAAGGCGGGCUGACUGCUGAUUUCAGUCCUCAGCUCCAUACAACUGCCCGGCUGGGGGUGUGGCUCAGUGGCAGAGUGUGGCUUAGCAUCUGCCAGGCCUUGAGUUCCAGGCCCUGAGUUCCAGCCCCAGGACCAAAAAAAAAAAAAAAAACUCUGAGUGCAUGAA